UACAGGGGGGCAAGCGUUGUUCGGAAUUACUGGGCGUAAAGCGCGCGUAGGCGGGUUUGAAAGUCGAUUGUGAAAUCCCUAGGCUUAACCUGGGAAUUGCAGUCGAAACUUCAAAUCUUGAAUGUCUGAGAGGAUGGCGGAAUUCCCGGUGUAGUAGUGAAAUACGUAGAUAUCGGGAAGAACACCUGAGGCGAAGGCGGCUAUCUGGCGGUACAUUGACGCUAAGGCGCGAAAGCGUGGGGAGCAAACAGG
rnacentral:rRNA from 1 species